AAGUCGUAACAAGGUUUCCGUAGGUGAACCUGCGGAAGGAUCAUUAACACGAAUCUUUUGUCUUUUUAUCCAAUAUUCAAACCAACCGUGAACUUAUCUCCUCCCUAUUUGUGCUGAAACAAUAUUCAAAUAGGCUAACAAUUAUUUCUUAUUAUUUCUAUUUUAACCCCAUUUUUAAUCUAUCUAUGAAUGUUUGUCUAGUGACACACUGACAAUCUUCAUAACUCGUCUAUAUAUAUAUACGUACCACACAACAAUUCUAUAUUAUUGUGUAGUGUAUGUGUUAUUUAUUGUAUCUCUAAUAAGAUAUAUUAAACAACUCUUAACAAUGGAUAUCUUGGUUCUC
rnacentral:misc_RNA from 1 species